rnacentral:rRNA from 1 species
UACGUAGGGUGCGAGCGUUAAUCGGAAUUACUGGGCGUAAAGCGUGCGCAGGCGGUCUUUUAAGCCAGAUGUGAAAUCCCCGGGCUCAACCCGGGAAAUGCUUCUGAUACUGGCGUGCUUGAGGCCGGUAUAGGUUACUGGAACGGACGGUGGAGCGGUGAAAUGCGUAGAUAUCGUCUGGAACGCCAGUGGUGAAGACGGGUAACUGGGCCGGUUCUGACACUGAGGCACGAAAGCGUGGGUAGCGAACGGG